UGAAGCGGCAACAGCUCAAAUUUGAAAUCUGGCUUCGGCCCGAGUUGUAAUUUGUAGAGGAUGCUUUUGGUGAGGUGCCUUCUGAGUUCCCUGGAACGGGACGCCAGAGAGGGUGAGAGCCCCGUAUAGUUGGACACCGAGCCUCUGUAAAGCUCCUUCGACGAGUCGAGUAGUUUGGGAAUGCUGCUCAAAAUGGGAGGUAUAUCUCUUCUAAAGCUAAAUACUGGCCAGAGACCGAUAGCGCACAAGUAGAGUGAUCGAAAGAUGAAAAGCACUUUGAAAAGAGGGUUAAAUAGUACGUGAAAUUGUUGAAAGGGAAGCGCUUGUGACCAGACUUGUGCCGGGCUGAUCAUCCAGUGUUCUCACUGGUGCACUCUGCCCGGCUCAGGCCAGCGUCGGUUUUCGCAGGGGGACAAAAGCUUCGGGAACGUAGCUCCUCUCGGGGAGUGUUAUAGCCCGUUGCUCAAUACCCUUGUGGGGACCGAGGUUCGCGCUCUGCAAG
rnacentral:rRNA from 1 species